AAUCUGAUGCCAUGUGACCAGAACCCCACUUGGGCGUGCACACCUGUGCUCCCAGGGGCUUCCUUACCAAGCUGUCUGCCUGCAGGUGGGCAGAGGGUCCUCACAUUUUGGUCCCUUCCCCCAGGUCACCUUCCGCAACCCUGUCAUUGAGAGGAUUCCUCGGCUCCGACGGCAGAAGAAAAUUUUCUCCAAGCAGCAAGGGAAGGCGUUCCAGCGUGCUAGGCAGAUGAACAUCGAUGUCGCCACGUGGGUGCGGCUGCUCCGGAGGCUCAUCCCCAAUGCCACGGGCACAGGCACCUUCAGCCCUGGGGCUUCUCCAGGAUCCGAGGCCCGGACCACGGGUGACAUAUCGGUGGAGAAGCUGAACCUCGGCACUGACUCGGACAGCUCACCUCAGAAGAGCUCGCGGGAUCCUCCUUCCAGCCCAUCGAGCCUGAGCUCCCCCAUCCAGGAAUCCACCGCUCCCGAGCUGCCUUCGGAGACCCGGGAGACCCCAGGCCCCGCCCUGUGCAGGUGACACCACUCCCUGGCCCCCUGUCCACCACCCCUG
rnacentral:sRNA from 1 species